CGGAACCUAGGGACGCAGCAGUGGGGAAUAUUGGGCAAUGGACGCAAGUCUGACCCAGCAACGCCGCGUGAAGGAAGAAGGCUUUCGGGUUGUAAACUUCUUUUAAGGGGGAAGAGCAGAAGACGGUACCCCUUGAGUAAGCCACGGCUAACUACGUGCCAGCAGCCGCGGUAAUACGUAGGUGGCAAGCGUUGUCCGGAUUUACUGGGUGUAAGGGGCGUGCAGCCGGAGAGACAAGUCAGAUGUGAAAUCCACGGGCUCAACCCGUGAACUGCAUUUGAAACUGUUUCCCUUGAGUGUCGGAG
rnacentral:rRNA from 1 species